rnacentral:lncRNA from 10 species
GUUGAGUCCUCGAUUUGAUUCUUAGCUUGGUUGUUGUCGAGUGCUAUUGACUUGUGUACAUUGAUUUUGUAACCUGAGACUACUGAAUUUGUUUAUCAGAUCUAGAAGUCUUUUGGAUGAGUCUUUAGGGUUUUCUAGGUAUAGGAUAAUAUCAUUGGUGAACAGCACUAGUUUUACUUCCUCUUUUCCAAUUUGAAUGCCUUUUAUUUCUUUCUCUUGCCUGAUUGCCCUGGCUAGGACUUCCAGUACUACGUUGAAUAGAAGUGGUGAAAGUGGACAUCCUUGUCUUGUUCCAGUUCUCAAGGAAAACGAUUUCAGCAUUUCCCCAUUUAGUAUGAUGUUGACUGGGUGUUUCAUAUAUAAAUUCUAUUAUUUUGAGUGUCUGCAUGCCUAAUUCUUCCUGGUUGUGAGACAAGAACCCGGAACUAGCUGAGCUAAGGAGAAAAAUCUUGUAUCAUUUUGGUGGCCCAUAUGGGGACCUAAGAAAAGUGUCCAUGAUGCUGGUACAUUGAAUUCCAUGUGGAGGCUUAAAUGCUUGUAUGUGGCCACUCUCUCAGCAGAUGAUUGCAAUGAUGAUGCAACAAAAAAGAUGAAAAAGAUCUUGUGAUAUGAUUGACUAAGGAUACAACAGAACAAUCAUCAAGUAGUGAAGCUCGGGAUCUCUCACCUUACCUUUUGACUAACAUCCUUUUGGCAAAAAAGAGAGUGACCAAAGGAAGGGAGAUUGAAUAUACAUGCAGACAAUCAUUUAUUUUUUAUUGAGACAGAGUCUCGCUCUGUCACCCAGGUAAGAGUGCAGUGGUGCGAUCUCGGCUCACUGCAACCUCCUCCUCCCAGGUUCAAGCAAUUCUCAUGCCUCAGCCUCCUAAGUAGCUGGGAUUACAAGCACAUACCACGACACCUGGCUAAUUUUUUGUAUUUUUUUUUUUUUUUAGUAGAGGCAGGGUUUCACUGUGUUAGCUGGGAUGUUCUCGAUCUCCUGACCUUGUGAUCUGCCCACCUUGCCCUCACAAAGUUCUGGGAUUAUAGGCGUGAGCCACUGCACCUGCCCAGAUCAUAUGCAGCAUUAGAACGUUGACCCACAGUCUCUGCAGCCAUUGCCUCAAAACAUUCAGGACUUCAUCAAUAAAGAUCAGUUUCCCUCGUUUCACCCCUAUUUCCAACUCAGAACCAACUGGAGAAAGCCAAAUGCACUCCCAAAACCAAUUGCAUAAGAUAGUUUCUAGUCAGCCCUUCUUCAGUUUUCCCAUGCCAACAACUUCCAAUCAGAACAUAUUCAAAGCCUUCCCUUUAAAAAUUAUUAUUAUAAAGUUUUCCUACUCCCCCCGCAUGCCUUUGGGUCUCUGGUAAAUGCAAGUGAUAGUGGCUAACUCCCGUUCUAUAACCAGCUCUGAAUAAAUAGAUAAAUAUUCUCUGCUUGUUUUCAUUUGUGUAGUCUUCAUUUAUUUCCACAAUGGCAACCUUCAAAUAUCUAAAGGUUUGUCAUAGAGAAGAGAUAUUAGAGUUCCCCCUGUGCCUGCAGAGAAGAAAUGUGCAUAAGAGGAGAGUGUGUUUCUCAUCAAUAUAACAACCUUUUAACAUUUAUAGUUGCUCAAAGGCAUACUGUACAGUGCUGUGUAGGAGAUGUGAUUACCCCAUUCCUGGAAAUGUUAAAAGCAGAGGCUAAAUAAUUGUUUAUAGUGGGCAAAUUAGAGUUUUGCAGAAGCAUUGUACUAAAUGGCUUAAUCCAAAUCUAAGUUUCCCAUACCUUCUCAUCAUACUUCUAUGAUUUAGGGUACAUCUGUUAAAAAGAAUAUGUUGAUUAUGUAAAAGAAGAAUGUUUGUUUAAAUGAAGCAAUCACCUUUUGGGGGCCAUUUUGUUAUGAAUUAGAACUAAAAGUUGCUUUCUCUUUUUUUAUCUUGGAGCCACAAAGCACACCACACUGACUUAUUAAUGUCUUUCAUACUGAUAUGAAGAAAUUGUGUGGUUAAUUCUGGGCUAGGGAGCCCAGACAUGCUGGCCCCUCAUUACCUUUGAGGAUAUGUUCAAAGGCCAAAAUCUUCAACUAUCUACUUGCUUCUGUACCAUUUUUCAACUAAUAAGACACAGAAUCCUGGUAUGGAGUGCCAUGGCAAUUAUCUAAGCAUUUUUAGAUUGUUUGACAUAUGUAAAGAAGGUAAUAAGACAUGAAUUUUAUGACUGCAUUUUGAUGAACAGUAAAAACUCCCUGCCAGAACUCUCCUUUCAUGUGCAAAUUUGAGUGUAUUUAAUGAGAAUUUUUGAGGAUUUCCUAGCAGAUCCUCACACCCCAUCUGGAUAGCACCUCUUUUUUCCAGUUCAGAAUAACUAUCACAGUGUGGGAGAACAGAGAACCCUAGAGUCAGAAGCCUUCUGGAAUUCAUUUGCUGGUUCACUGGAGACUUCAGAGUGCUGUAAGCUGAAACUGCUUCAACAACUGCUAUGGUUCUUGUAGUGUCAGAUGUGACUGUGGUGAUGGCAGUGAAAUUGGCUCCUGCAGUCUUAGAAGAGGCCUCACUCUGAAAAGUAUCCAUUCACUUUUUCUUUCUUUACAAAUACUCAUUAUUUUAAAGAAGAUCAAUGAGCUCCUAAUAACUACUGAAUACUUACCAAGCUCUAAAAGGUGACAGAACCAUAAAAAAUUUGGUUUGGUCAUGGAAGGAUACUAAUAAUCUAUGCUAAAUAUACAAAGAACAAAAAUAAAAUAAAAUACAAUCUAGGUCUCACUAGUUCCAUUUCCUUGACAACAUUAUUUAAGGGAGCAGGUGUCUAGGAUUAAGUAAUUAAGAAAAGUAAAACCCCAAAAAUGCCUAAACCGAGGAAAAUUUGGAAAGUUUAUGAUAAUAGAAAGGGAGAAAAACAAAUUAAGUAAUUUAAGUAAGAUUCUGUCUAAGGACUUUUCAAUACUGCAUAAGUCGAGGGAGGAAAUACCAGGAACAUAUCCUAGAUGUAGAAAACUGAGAAUCUUUGAAUACCAAUGGUAUUGAAGGAGGUAAAAAUAUGCCAUUCUGGCAUGUUGACUAUUUUGAGUUAAAGGCAUUUGAAAUACAGCAGGUGCAAGAAAAUUACUCUGACCUUCAUUCUAUUUCUUAAAAACACAAAAAAUGAAAUUCCAAUGUGAAAGAUGCCCACUUAUGCCACAAGAAAAGCAACAUUCUUAUCAUCAAGGACAAAAAAAUUGAGACAGAGAGAAUUCUGUACAGAUCUUUAAAAAUAUCUCAACCUGUAAGCCUUCCCAUAUUAUUUAUUAGAUUCUUCACAAUUUACCAUUCUUUGUCUGAUUCAGUAUAUAAGUGAUUGCCUCUGUUUUUUGGAUCUUCAUUUCCUUUUGAGGGCUCCCAUGCCAUGUAAAACUGUAUUAAGUAUUAAAUAAAUUCAUAGGAUUUUCUUCUGUUAAUUUCUAUUGUGUCAAUUUAAUUCUCAGGCUCAGCCAAAAACCAAAAAACAAAACCAAACAAAAAUAAAAAAAAAAAACUCCUACAAGGGAAAAGGUAAAGUACUGCCUCUCCUAUAGUAUCAGAACCUUUCUGUCUUUUCUUCCUUCUUUUUUCUUUCUUCCUCUCUUUUUUCUACUCUUUCUUUCUUCCUUCCUAUUUUGGGACUUCUUUCCUAAGAUAUUCUCCAAAAUAUUCUCUACAAUAUCCAGCCCAGUGCCAUAGAUAUGGGAGAUAUACCAUCUUUGGUUGCAAGUAGAUAAAAAUUUAGUUUGUUAAGAAGAAAUUUGGUAAGCUGGAAAUUUCUUAGAAGCAAUUAGGAAUAGUUUCCACAACAAAGAAAUUUGUGAUUCUUAAGAUAACAGUGGUAAAGAAGGAUAAUAUAAAAAUCAACCGAUGGGAAUUUUAAAAAAUAUACUUGCCCUAUUUUGAUGCUUUGAAAUUGAACUGUCUAGUAAGUGAGAGAAGAAUGUUAAGAAGAUAGAUAACAAAAUAUUAUGUGAUCAACCCCAUCCCAGAAGAAAAAUAAAUGUUUUAACUCUUAUAAGAAAUACAUAAGAAAGCAACUGAGGUUGGGGGGAAAAUGCCAGAUAUUGUUUUUUGGCACUUGGCCCUAUUCUUACUAGCUUCCGUGCUCCCCUCUAUUGGAGAGGCUAGAAAACUAAGAAUUGCAUUGAUUAUAUUCUUUUACUAUCUAGUUCGUCACAUAAGUUUUAGGAUUUGUCAAGCAGCUGCAGUAACUAGAAGAUUUAACAGGUAGAAAAGAGGUAGAAACACUCAUUUUCCUCUAGCAGCAACUCCAAUUGGGUGGGCUGUGUAGGUACAAGGGCUGUUGGUUGAUUAUUUUUUAAAACUCUCUGUACUUCUAUUAAUAUUACAGAAGAUUUAUGAAAUCUGAAGCCAUUUCCUGCAGUUUUCUAACUUCUGGGUAGCAAUAGCCAAUACCUGCACUGCUGUAGCAGAGGUUCUCCUUGAGGGCUCUGACCUGCAGCAGAUUUCUGCUUGGACAUUCAGACAUCUCCAUACAUUCUCUGAAAUCUAGAUGGAGGCUCCCAAAGCUGAACUCUCGUCUUUUGCACAGCAGCAGGCCCAACACCACGUGGAAGCUGUAAGACUUGGGGAUUGCAUCCUCUUAAGCCAUAGUUUGAGCUGUACCUUGGCCCCUUUUAGCCACGGCUGGAGCUGGAGUGGCUGGGAUGCAGGGUACAAUGUCCCAAGGCUGAACAGAGGAGCAGGGCCCUGGCCUGACCCAUAAAACCAUUUUUCCCUACUAGGCUGCCAGGCUUGCGAUGGGAGGGGCUGCUGUGAAGAUCUCUGACAUGCCCUGGAGGUACUUUCCUCAUUGUCUUUGCCAUUAACAUUGGGCUCCUCAUUACUUAUGCAAAUAUCUGCAGCCAGCUUGAAUUUAUUGCCAGAAGAUAGGUUUUUCUUUUUUACUGCAUGGUCAGGCUGCAAAUUUUUCAAACUUUUACGGUCUGCUUCCCUUUAACUUCCAAUUUCUGAUUUUUUCUUUGUGAACGAAUAUGGGCAUACACUUUUACCAAAAGCCAGGUCACUUCUUGAAUGCUUUGCUGCUUAGAAAUUUCUUCUGCCAGAUACCCUAAAUCAUCUUUCUCAAGUUCAAAAUUCCACAGACCUCUAGGGUGGGAGCAAAAUGCCACCAGUCUCUUUGCUAAGAUAUAACAAGAGUGACCUCUGCUCCAGUUCCCAAAAAGUUCCUCAUCUCCAUCUGACACCACCUCAGCCUAGACUUCAUUGUCCAUGUCACUAUCAGAAUUUUGGUCAAAACUAUUCAACAAGUCUCUAGGAAGUUCCAAACUUUCCCACAUCUUCCUAUCUUCUUCUGAGCCCUCCAAACUGUUCCAGCCACUGCCCAUUACCCAGUUCCAAAAUUGCUUCCACAUUUUUAGGUAUCUUUAGGCAGUACCUCAUUCCUGGUACCAAUUUUAUGUAUUAGCCCUUUUUCACACUGUAUAAAAAACUUCCCGAGACUAGGCAAUUUAUAAAAGAAAGAGGUCUAACUGACUCACAGUUCCACAUAGCUGAGGAGGUCUCAAGAAACUUACAAUCAUGGCAGAUGGUGAAGGGGAAGCAAGACACUUCUUACAUAGUGGCAGGAGAGAGAGAGCAAAGAGGGAACUUCCGAACACCUCUAAACCAUCAGAUCUCCAGAGAACUCCCUCACUAUCAGGAGAACAGCAUGGUGUAAACCACUCCCAUGAUUUAAUCACCUCCCACCAGGUCCUUCCCUCCACACAUGGGGAUUACAAUUCAAGAUGAGAUUUGGGUGGGGACACAGAGCCAAACAAUAUCAAUAGUACUUUCUGAAAUAUUAUGCAUCUAAUAUGAUGUAGCCUGAGAUGUAUAGGGAUAGCAGAAUGGAAUAUUAAAACAGAGUUUAGUCUUAGAUGAUAAAGGGAGAUAAUCAAUGAUUAUAAUAAUUAUGAUAUUAUUAUAAUAAUCAUGCAGGAACAUAUCAAUUCUGUGUUUCAGAAAGAUAACUAGCUGGGCACAGUGGUUCCUGAUUGUAAUCCCAACACUUCUGGACGGAGGUCAAGGUGGGAGGAUCACUUGAGCCCAGAAGUUUGAGACAAGCCUGGCAACAUAGUGGGGACUUGUCUUUAUUUACUUAUUUAUUUAUUUUUAUUUUUGAGAUAGAGUCUUGCUCUCUUGCCCAGGCUGGAGUGCAGUGGCAUGAUCUCGGCUCACUGCAACCUCCAUCUCCCAGGUUCAAGUGAUUCUCCUGCCUCAGCCUCCUGAGUAGCUGCAGGUGCAUGCCACCACCAUGCCUGGCUAAUGUUUGUAUUUUUAGUAGAGAUGGGGUUUCCCUAUGUUGGCCUGCCUGGUCUCCAACUCCUGACCUCAAGUGAUCUGCCCGCUUCAGCCUCUCAAAGUGCUGGGAUUACAGGCAUGAGCCAUGAACCUUGGCUGGGGCCCUGUUUUUUAAAAAAAAAAAAAAAAAAAAAAUAGCUGGGCAUGUUGGGGCAUGCCUGUGGUCCCAGCUACUCAGGAGGCUGAGGUGGGAGGAUCACUUGAGCCCAUGAGGUUGAGGCUGCAGUGAGCUCUGAUUGUGCCACUGCACUCCAGCCUAAGAGACAGAGUGAGAUCCUGUCUGCAAAAAAAACUGAAAUAUAAUUGUAGGUAUAUUUAUUAAAAACCAAUUAAAUAAAUAAAUAAUUUGCUAAAUUUAUAAACAUUAAUUGUAGGACUUUUUUGGAAUAUAGUCAAUAUUACCAAUAAUAUAACCACUAUAAAAUAUUCCUCAAUGACAUAAAUAUAUUCAACUAAAAUAUUCAGUGAAUGAAUUAAUAAAUAUAUUACCUAUAAGUGCAUUUCUUAUUAAGAUAUUUGUACUUAAGACUAUAAAAUUAUAUAUUCAACUAAAUAUCAUGGAUAUAGUGUAUAUGUUGAAUAUAUUCAAUAUACUGUAGAACUGUACUGUUGAAUUCAUGAGUCACUAGUUACAUGUUAUUACUGAGUGCUUGAAAUGUGGCUAGUCUGAACUGAGUUAUGCUGCAAGAGUUAAAUAUACACAGAAUUUCAAAGAAAUAAUACAAAUAAAAUAAUGCAAAAUAUCUAAUUUGUAACUUUUCUGUUGACUACAUGUUGAAAUGAUAAUAUUAUGGAUAUUCCAGUUUAAAUAAAAUGUGCUAUUAAAAUUAAUUUUACCUGUUUCUUUUUCCUUUUUUAAUGUGAG